GCCCAGACUCCUACGGGAGGCAGCAGUGGGGAAUAUUGCACAAUGGGGGAAACCCUGAUGCAGCGACGCCGCGUGAGUGAAGAAGUAUUUCGGUACGUAAAGCUCUAUCAGCAGGGAAGAAAAAAAGUCCUUUGGACUUUGGACGGUACCUGACCAAGAAGCCCCGGCUAACUACGUGCCAGCAGCCGCGGUAAUACGUAGGGGGCAAGCGUUAUCCGGAUUUACUGGGUGUAAAGGGAGCGUAGACGGCGUGGCAAGUCAGAUGUGAAAGCCCGGGGCUCAACCCCGGGACUGCAUUUGAAACUGUCAGGCUGGAGUGCCGGAGGGGUAAGCGGAAUUCCUGGUGUAGCGGUGAAAUGCGUAGAUAUCAGGAGGAACACCGGCGGCGAAGGCGGCUUACUGGACGGCAACUGACGUUGAGGCCCGAAAGCGUGGGGAGCGAACAGGAUUAGAUACCCCAGUA
rnacentral:rRNA from 1 species